rnacentral:rRNA from 1 species
CCUACGGGGGGCAGCAGUGGGGAAUAUUGCGCAAUGGGCGAAAGCCUGACGCAGCGACGCCGCGUGAGGGAUGAAGGUCUUCGGAUCGUAAACCUCUGUCAGCAGGGAAGAACGGUCACUGUGCUAAUCAGCAGUGAAUUGACGGUACCUGCAAAGGAAGCACCGGCUAACUCCGUGCCAGCAGCCGCGGUAAUACGGAGGGUGCGAGCGUUAAUCGGAAUUACUGGGCGUAAAGCGCUCGUAGGCGGUAUGUCAAGUCAAGGGUGAAAUCCCCGCGCUCAACGGGGGAACUGCCUUUGAAACUGGCAGACUGGAGUGUAGGAGAGGAUAGUGGAAUUCCAGGUGUAGGAGUGAAAUCCGUAGAUAUCUGGAGGAACAUCAGUGGCGAAGGCGACUAUCUGGCACAUAACUGACGCUGAGGAGCGAAAGCGUGGGUAGCAAACAGGAUUAGAUACCCGGGUAGUC